ACCCCUACGGGGGGCAGCAGUGAGGAAUAUUGGGCAAUGGGCGCAAGCCUGACCCAGCCAUGCCGCGUGCAGGAAGACUGCCCUACGGGUUGUAAACUGCUUUUUUACGGGAAGAAUAAGGGGUACGUGUAUCCUGGUGACGGUACCGUAGGAAUAAGCACCGGCUAACUCCGUGCCAGCAGCCGCGGUAA
rnacentral:rRNA from 1 species